rnacentral:misc_RNA from 1 species
CAGAUACAAUCCUGAAGAAGUACUCUUCAACAGUUGCCACAAUCUUCACAGGCAUUGCAUCAGCAGCAAUGUUUGGUCAUACUUUGACCAUGAAUUUCAUGUUGGGAAUUUCUGUUGUGUUCAUCUCAAUGCACCAGUUUUUCUCAUCACUAUCAAAAGUCAAAGAGGAACAGCAGAAUGGGGUGGUGGAACUAAUGGAUGUUCAAGACGGGCAGAGGUCAAAAGAUUCAAUCAUAAACAUGGCAGCUGGAGCAAAUGAAGAGAUUACUCAUCGUGUAGGACAUGAUGAGAGACAGCCAGCCUCUACUUCCUACCUAGAAAUUAGUCAUGCCUGUUACGUUAGAAAGGAAUUUUCUUGGAAGGAAUUCUUUUGGCAGGACUUAUCGGACUAGGGAGGAGAUAAGUCGGUUGUCAGAAUCACAAAUAAACAUCAAUUUUUUCAAAGAAUUAUUUUUCGCAUUCGAUAUCCAUUUCCUGCUUCUUUAAUUCUUCCUACCAAGUCGGUACUCCAAGUUUCCAUCAUGCAGAUCAUCUGGGUUUUCGCUACUGGAGACUUAGAGAUUAACAACAAAUGGUAACUGGAUACCAAUACCAAUGUUCUAUUACUAGUUUUACCUUUAUUCUUUGUCUCGGAAAUCUCUUUAUAGGAUUAGCUCUCAGAUCUUUAUGUGAGGCUGCGGUUAAAAAUAGAGAGAAAAUACCCCAUUUUCUUCAUACUGAACCUGAAAAUGCUAUUUAAAUGUACUGACUCACUUAAAACAUUCAAUUAUCCAGUUAAAAAAAAAAAAAAAAAA